AGAGUUUGAUCCUGGCUCAGGACGAACGCUGGCGGCGUGCCUAACACAUGCAAGUCGAACGGAGAAUUUUAUUUCGGUAGAAUUCUUAGUGGCGAACGGGUGAGUAACGCGUAGGCAACCUGCCCUUUAGACGGGGACAACAUUCCGAAAGGAGUGCUAAUACCGGAUGUGAUCAUCUUGCCGCAUGGCAGGAUGAAGAAAGAUGGCCUCUACAAGUAAGCUAUCGCUAAAGGAUGGGCCUGCGUCUGAUUAGCUAGUUGGUAGUGUAACGGACUACCAAGGCGAUGAUCAGUAGCCGGUCUGAGAGGAUGAACGGCCACAUUGGGACUGAGACACGGCCCAAACUCCUACGGGAGGCAGCAGUGGGGAAUCUUCCGCAAUGGACGAAAGUCUGACGGAGCAACGCCGCGUGAGUGAUGAAGGAUUUCGGUCUGUAAAGCUCUGUUGUUUAUGACGAACGUGCAGUGUGUGAACAAUGCAUUGCAAUGACGGUAGUAAACGAGGAAGCCACGGCUAACUACGUGCCAGCAGCCGCGGUAAUACGUAGGUGGCGAGCGUUGUCCGGAAUUAUUGGGCGUAAAGAGCAUGUAGGCGGCUUAAUAAGUCGAGCGUGAAAAUGCGGGGCUCAACCCCGUAUGGCGCUGGAAACUGUUAGGCUUGAGUGCAGGAGAGGAAAGGGGAAUUCCCAGUGUAGCGGUGAAAUGCGUAGAUAUUGGGAGGAACACCAGUGGCGAAGGCGCCUUUCUGGACUGUGUCUGACGCUGAGAUGCGAAAGCCAGGGUAGCGAACGGGAUUAGAUACCCCGGUAGUCCUGGCCGUAAACGAUGGGUACUAGGUGUAGGAGGUAUCGACCCCUUCUGUGCCGGAGUUAACGCAAUAAGUACCCCGCCUGGGGAGUACGUCCGCAAGGAUGAAACUCAAAGGAAUUGACGGGGGCCCGCACAAGCGGUGGAGUAUGUGGUUUAAUUCGACGCAACGCGAAGAACCUUACCAAGUCUUGACA
rnacentral:rRNA from 1 species